UACGGAGGGUGCAAGCGUUGUCCGGAUUUACUGGGUUUAAAGGGUGCGUAGGUGGGUCUGUAAGUCAGUGGUGAAAUCUCCGAGCUUAACUCGGAAACUGCCAUUGAUACUAUAGGUCUUGAAUUAUCUGGAGGUAAGCGGAAUAUGUCAUGUAGCGGUGAAAUGCUUAGAUAUGACAUAGAACACCAAUUGCGAAGGCAGCUUACUACGGAUUGAUUGACACUGAGGCACGAAAGCGUGGGGAUCAAACAGG
rnacentral:rRNA from 1 species